rnacentral:rRNA from 1 species
UACGUAGGGGGCAAGCGUUGUCCGGAAUCAUUGGGCGUAAAGAGCUCGUAGGCGGUUGGGUAAGUCGGGUGUGAAAACUCCAGGCUCAACUUGGAGAUGCCACCCGAUACUGCUCUGACUUGAGUUCGGUAGGGGAGUGGGGAAUUCCUGGUGUAGCGGUGAAAUGCGCAGAUAUCAGGAGGAACACCGGUGGCGAAGGCGCCACUCUGGGCCGAAACUGACGCUGAGGAGCGAAAGCGUGGGUAGCAAACAGG